UUUUCUUCGGAACUCUUUCAAGGUGCUGCAUGGUUGUCGUCAGCUCGUGCCGUGAGGUGUCGGGUUAAGUCCCAUAACGAGCGCAACCCUUAUCGUUAGUUGCCAGCGGGUAAUGCCGGGAACUCUAGCGAAACUGCCGGUGUAAACCGAGAGGAAGGUGGGGAUGACGUCAAAUCAGCACGGCCCUUAUGUCCAGGGCUACACACGUGUUACAAUGGCCGGUACAGAGGGCAGCUACCUGGAGACAGGAUGCGAAUCUCGAAAGCCGGUCUCAGUUCGGAUCGGAGUCUGCAACCCGACUCCGUGAAGCUGGAUUCGCUAGUAAUCGCGCAUCAGCCAUGGCGCGGUGAAUACGUUCCCGGGCCUU
rnacentral:rRNA from 1 species